rnacentral:rRNA from 1 species
AUUGAACGCUGGCGGCAGGCCUAACACAUGCAAGUCGAGCAGAUGAAGGGAGCUUGCUCCUGGAUUCAGCGGCGGACGGGUGAGUAAUGCCUAGGAAUCUGCCUGGUAGUGGGGGAUAACGUCCGGAAACGGGCGCUAAUACCGCAUACGUCCUGAGGGAGAAAGUGGGGGAUCUUCGGACCUCACGCUAUCAGAUGAGCCUAGGUCGGAUUAGCUAGUUGGUGGGGUAAAGGCCUACCAAGGCGACGAUCCGUAACUGGUCUGAGAGGAUGAUCAGUCACACUGGAACUGAGACACGGUCCAGACUCCUACGGGAGGCAGCAGUGGGGAAUAUUGGACAAUGGGCGAAAGCCUGAUCCAGCCAUGCCGCGUGUGUGAAGAAGGUCUUCGGAUUGUAAAGCACUUUAAGUUGGGAGGAAGGGCAGUAAGUUAAUACCUUGCUGUUCUGACGUUACCAACAGAAUAAGCACCGGCUAACUUCGUG